CGGUGGAGGGAUAGGAACGGUCCGUUCGGGUUAGUAACCUCUUUCAGCAGGGACGAAGCGAAAGUGACGGUACCUGCAGAAGAAGCACCGGCUAACUACGUGC
rnacentral:rRNA from 1 species